UGGGGAAUAUUGCGCAAUGGGCGAAAGCCUGACGCAGCAACGCCGCGUGGGGGAUGACGGCCUUCGGGUUGUAAACCCCUUUCAGCAGGGACGAAAAUGACGGUACCUGCAGAAGAAGCCCCGGCCAACUACGUGCCAGCAGCCGCGGUAACACGUAGGGGGCAAGCGUUGUCCGGAUUUAUUGGGCGUAAAGAGCUCGUAGGCGGUUGCGUAAGUCGGAUGUGAAAACUCAGGGCUCAACCCGGAGACGCCAUCCGAUACUGCGCUGACUAGAGUCCGGUAGAGGAGCAUGGAAUUCCUGGUGUAGCGGUGAAAUGCGCAGAUAUCAGGAGGAACACCAGCGGCGAAGGCGGUGCUCUGGGCCGGAACUGACGCUGAGGAGCGAAAGCGUGGGUAGCGAACAGG
rnacentral:rRNA from 1 species